ACGAACGCUGGCGGCGUGCUUAACACAUGCAAGUCGAACGGAAAGGCCCUGCUUUUGUGGGGUGCUCGAGUGGCGAACGGGUGAGUAACACGUGAGUAACCUGCCCUUGACUUUGGGAUAACUUCAGGAAACUGGGGCUAAUACCGGAUAGGAGCUCCUGCUGCAUGGUGGGGGUUGGAAAGUUUCGGCGGUUGGGGAUGGACUCGCGGCUUAUCAGCUUGUUGGUGGGGUAGUGGCUUACCAAGGCUUUGACGGGUAGCCGGCCUGAGAGGGUGACCGGCCACAUUGGGACUGAGAUACGGCCCAGACUCCUACGGGAGGCAGCAGUGGGGAAUAUUGCACAAUGGGCGGAAGCCUGAUGCAGCAACGCCGCGUGCGGGAUGACGGCCUUCGGGUUGUAAACCGCUUUCGCCUGUGACGAAGCGUGAGUGACGGUAAUGGGUAAAGAAGCACCGGCUAUCUACGUG
rnacentral:rRNA from 1 species